rnacentral:rRNA from 1 species
AUGGAAGCUGCUAAACCUCGAGCUCACGACGUCCACCUCAAUGCCGAGCCUCCUGACGCCGUCGGCCGUGACCGGCCCAUGAACGGCCACGACCAUGUCGGGCCAUCGCGCCCUGAGCCGGGGCCAGCUCCAGCCCGCGGCGUCCAGCCCCUUGAGCAGCCCCUCGACCUCCGCCGAGCUGGUGAAAACGAUGGCGUCGGGCGCGGUGGCGUCCGGGGCCACCAGCCGCUCGGCGCAGCCCGGGCCGACCCAGCACGUGGUGUACGCCGGAGCGCGCACGGCCGCCCAGCCGGCCGCGUCGAGCCGGGCGAGGAAGUCGGGCACGACGGGCGGCUCGCGGAGGCCGUCGACGUCGGGGACGGGGCAGAGCACGCGGCGGCCGGACCCGCGCCCCAGCGCCUCCACGAGGCCGGCGGGGGUGGGGACGUCCGGGACGAGGACGGCCAGCCUCCCGGCGUCGCGGCAGAGCCUGGCGAGGAAGGCGCCGUCCAGAAGGUCGGCGUCGCUGCCGAGUGCGGCGACGGUGAAGGGGAGCGCCGACGCGGCGUCGGAGAGGGGAAGCUGGGCGGAGGAGGAGGAGGGGAGGGCGCGGGAGAAGGCGGCGAUGCCGGAGCGGGAGGUGAAGGCGAGCGCCGUGAAGGGGUCGAGGGCGCCGGGCAGGAGGUAGGGGCGGAGGCGGUCGGGCUCGUGGGCGCGGAUGGCGAUGGUGGGCACGGGGAGCGGGUGCGCGCCGCGCUGCCGCAGCAGCGCGCCAAGCCGGCCACCGUAUCCUUCCCCGCCGCCCCCGCCGGUGGUCUGAGGCGUCGUGAACGCCACCCGCCGGCCCGCGAGCGAGAGGCCCUCCGGCUGCGCCAUUACCACUCUAUCUGA